UCUUCCUCUCCUCCGAGUCAGAGUACCCUGGAGGGAUAAUGCUCUGCAGCACUGGCUAGAACUUCCAUCCCUGUGGUGAAUAAGAGUGAUGAAAGUGGACACCAUCGUAUUAUUGAAUUGAAGGGGUGAGUGUCAGUUGCUAUGUACAAAGUCCUACUACUCUAAGACUGCCAUACCAUGAGAAGCCCAACCUAGCCAUGUGGAGAGGUCAUGUGAAGGAGAACUGAGUCUUCCAGCCAGCAACCCCAGCUGAGCUUCCAGCCAACAAACAGCACUAACUUGCAUGGGAGAAGCUGUCCAGGAAGUGAAUCCUUGAGCUCCAAUUGAGCUGCCUCAAGCUGGUGUCACGUGGAGCAGAGAUGAGCUGUCCCUGACAUACCUUGCACAAAUUUCAGAAACAUAAGUAAAUAAAAGAAAUAUUUGUAUUUUAAGUCAACAUGUGUUGAGGUGUUUU
rnacentral:lncRNA from 1 species